ACUCAAAUGAAUAGACGGGGGCCCGCACAAGCGGUGGAGCAUGUGGUUCAAUUCGAAGCAACGCGCAGAACCUUACCAGCCCUUGACAUGUCCCGUAUGGACUGUGGAGACGCAGUCCUUCAGUUCGGCUGGCGGGAACACAGGUGCUGCAUGGCUGUCGUCAGCUCGUGUCGUGAGAUGUUGGGUUAAGUCCCGCAACGAGCGCAACCCUCACCUUCAGUUGCCAUCGGGUUAAGCUGGGCACUCUGAAGGAACCGCCGGUGACAAGCCGGAGGAAGGCGGGGAUGACGUCAAGUCCUCAUGGCCCUUAUGGGCUGGGCUACACACGUGCUACAAUGGCGGUGACAAUGGGACGCGAUGGAGCGAUCCGGAGCCAAUCUCAAAAAGCCGUCUCAGUUCAGAUUGCACUCUGCAACUCGAGUGCAUGAAGGUGGAAUCGCUAGUAAUCGUGGAUCAGCACGCCACGGUGAAUACGUUCCCGGGCCUUGUACACACCGCCCGU
rnacentral:rRNA from 1 species